AUUGAACGCUGGCGGCAGGCCUAACACAUGCAAGUCGAGCGGAUGAAGGGAGCUUGCUCCUGGAUUCAGCGGCGGACGGGUGAGUAAUGCCUAGGAAUCUGCCUGGUGGUGGGGGAUAACGUCCGGAAACGGGCGCUAAUACCGCAUACGUCCUGAGGGAGAAAGUGGGGGAUCUUCGGACCUCACGCUAUCAGAUGAGCCUAGGUCGGAUUAGCUAGUUGGUGGGGUAAAGGCCUACCAAGGCGACGAUCCGUAACUGGUCUGAGAGGAUGAUCAGUCACACCGGAACUGAGACACGGUCCAGACUCCUACGGGAGGCAGCAGUGGGGAAUAUUGGACAAUGGGCGAAAGCCUGAUCCAGCCAUGCCGCGUGUGUGAAGAAGGUCUUCGGAUUGUAAAGCACUUUAAGUUGGGAGGAAGGGCAGUAAGUUAAUACCUUGCUGUUUUGACGUUACCAACAGAAUAAGCACCGGCUAACUUCGUG
rnacentral:rRNA from 1 species